rnacentral:rRNA from 1 species
GACCUCAAAUCAGGUAGGACUACCCGCUGAACUUAAGCAUAUCAAUAAGCGGAGGAAAAGAAACUAACAAGGAUUCCCCUAGUAACUGCGAGUGAAGCGGGAAAAGCUCAAAUUUAAAAUCUGGUAGUCUUUGACUGUCCGAGUUGUAAUCUAGAGAAGUGUUAUCCGCGCUGGACCGUGUACAAGUCUCCUGGAAUGGAGCGUCACAGAGGGUGAGAAUCCCGUCUUUGACACGGACUGCCAGUGCUUUGUGAUGCGCUCUCAAAGAGUCGAGUUGUUUGGGAAUGCAGCUCAAAAUGGGUGGUAAAUUCCAUCUAAAGCUAAAUAUUGGCGAGAGACCGAUAGCGAACAAGUACCGUGAGGGAAAGAUGAAAAGAACUUUGGAAAGAGAGUUAAACAGUACGUGAAAUUGCUGAAAGGGAAACGCUUGAAGUCAGUCACAUUGUCUGAGAAUCAACCUUGCUUUUGCUGGGCGUACUUCUCAGAUGAUGGGUCAGCAUCAAUUUUGACCGUUGGAUAAAGUCUGAGGGAAUGUGGCAUCUUAGGAUGUGUUAUAGCCUUUAGUCGCAUACAACGGUUGGGAUUGAGGAACUCAGCACGCCGCAAGGCCGGGUACUUGUACCACGUUCGUGCUUAGGAUGUUGGCAUAAUGGCUUUAAUCGACCCGUCUUGAAACACGGACCAAGGAGUCUAACAUGCCUGCGAGUAUUUGGGUGGAAAACCCGAGUGCGCAAUGAAAGUAAAAGUUGAGAUCCCUGUCAUGGGGAGCAUCGACGCCCGGACCAGACCUUUUGUGACGGAUCUGCGGUAGAGCAUGUAUGUUGGGACCCGAAAGAUGGUGAACUAUGCCUGAAUAGGGUGAAGCCAGAGGAAACUCUGGUGGAGGCUCGUAGCGAUUCUGACGUGCAAAUCGAUCGUCAAAUUUGGGUAUAGGGGCGAAAGACUAAUCGAACCAUCUAGUAGCUGGUUCCU